UGAGGAAUAUUGGGCAAUGCCCGAAAGGGUGACCCAGCAACGCCGCGUGGAGGAUGAAGGUCGUAAGAUUGUAAACUCCUGUUAGAGGGGAAGAAUAACUAAGUUUGGAGCUUAGUAUGACUGUACCCUCAGAGAAAGCCCCGGCUAACUACGUGCCAGCAGCCGCGGUAAUACGUAGGGGGCAAGCGUUGUCCGGAUUUACUGGGUGUAAAGGGCGCGCAGGCGGAAUGGAAAGUCAGUGGUGAAAUCCUACAGCUUAACUGUAGAACUGCCUUUGNAACUUUCAUUCUUGAGUUCGGGAGAGAGAGACGGAAUUCCAGGUGUAGUGGUGAAAUACGUAGAUAUCUGGAAGAACACCAGUUGCGAAGGCGGUCUCUUGGUCCGACACUGACGCUGAGGCGCGAAAGCGUGGGGAGCAAACA
rnacentral:rRNA from 1 species